ACAAGCAGAGGGGGCUUAGUGGUGGGGUGACUGCGUACCUUUUGUAUAAUGGGUCAGCGACUUAUAUUCUGUAGCAAGGUUAACCGUAUAGGGGAGCCGGAGGGAAACCGAGUCUUAAUUGGGCGUUAAGUUGCAGGGUAUAGACCCGAAACCCGGUGAUCUAGCCAUGGGCAGGUUGAAGGUUGGGUAACACUAACUGGAGGACCGAACCGACUAAUGUUGAAAAAUUAGCGGAUGACCUGUGGCUGGGGGUGAAAGGCCAAUCAAACCGGGAGAUAGCUGGUUCUCCCCGAAAGCUAUUUAGGUAGCGCCUCGUGAAUUCAUCUCCGGGGGUAGAGCACUGUUUCGGCUAGGGGGCCAUCCCGGCUUACCAACCCGAUGCAAACUGCGAAUACCGGAGAAUGUUAUCACGGGAGACACACGGCGGGUGCUAACGUCCGUCGUGAAGAGGGAAACAACCCAGACCGCCAGCUAAGGUCCCAAAGUCAUGGUUAAGUGGGAAACGAUGUGGGAAGGCCCAGACAGCCAGGAUGUUGGCUUAGAAGCAGCCAUCAUUUAAAGAAAGCGUAAUAGCUCACUGGUCGAGUCGGCCUGCGCGGAAGAUGUAACGGGGCUAAACCAUGCACCGAAGCUGCGGCAGCGAACGUAUCACUUAAAGCGAUUCAGCGGGUUACGAUUGACGGAGCGAAGCGACGUCAAAGCGUAUACAAAGUCGAGUCGGUUUAAGGAUACGUUCGUUGGGUAGGGGAGCGUUCUGUAAGCCUGCGAAGGUGGCCUGUGAGGGUUGCUGGAGGUAUCAGAAGUGCGAAUG
rnacentral:rRNA from 1 species